rnacentral:misc_RNA from 1 species
GUGUAAAGAAUUAAUGAUUUAUAUAAAUGAAUUAGGAGUGUGUGAGGUACUUAUUGGGUUCUUUUGUAUUUAAACCGCUAGUUUGAUCUGGUUCAAAAUCGUCGGUUUAAUUCGAUUCGUAAUCGCCAGUUCACAAUUCCUGAAAAAUAUGAACCUCAACCAAAUCGCAGAUGGGUGGUUUUGGUCUUGUUUGAAGCUGAUUCUGGUUUAAACCUGUUUUGGUCCGGUUUUGACCGAAUCGAUUCCGGUUCAGUUAUGGUUCAAAACCGAAAUGUGGCCAACCCCAGCUACUUUCCUCAACUUCUUUUGUGAUUCAAAUCGUAUUAUAGUUGUGAAACAGUUGUUGGAACCUUCCACUAAGGAUUCCUUUAGUUGCUAUAUUAUUAUUAGUGUCGAGUCCCACAUCUAAAGAUUACAAAGAAAUUGUUAGGUUUAACCUUUUAGCAAUAGUUAGCUCUAACCCGAGUAAGCCCAUCUUACUCGUCACAGACUCUUGCCUCGGUUUAUUUAUUCACUUCUGCCCAUGCAAUCUUAAUUCUAUAACAUGUUAUCAGAGCAGGCCACAAUCCGAGACUCGAAAAAGUAUGGUGGGCAGUGCCACAGCGAGCCAAACCCUAGUGAAUACGUGGGCUAGUGAAAAGUAUAGAUCCAUUGAGCUAAGCUGCAAAAAGAAGAGGCGAAACUUUAAAUAUGCCACCACAUGCAGAUCAAGUGACAACUAGACCUAAAAACUUAAAUCUAAUCUAGUUGAACUUGAGAAGGGAGUGUUGGAGUCCCACAUUGGAAGACCUAAGCCAAAUCAAAUUGGCUUAAGUAAUUUUGGUUGAGGCAACCCCAAGCUCAAUGAAUAACUUUGCCUAUAGUCUUUAGCACUCUCCGUGUCAGAGAGAAAUUUCACAUAGUAUCAGAGUAGGUGUGGCCCAGUUCAAUUCAAGUAUCAAGGUUUCAGUGUUGUCACUGAGUCAAAGUUCAAGGUUUCAGGGGGAGGAUUUUAAGUUUCAAGUGUCAACCAAAAAUGGUUGCCACUUGAGGGGAAGUGUUAAAAGUCCCACAUCUAAAUAUUACAAAGAAUUCAAAGGGCUUAUAAGGGUGAAAAGCUAGCUUUUUGGGGUGAGUUAGGCUCAAUCUAUUUCUUAAGAUGGUAUCAAAGUUUCCUCAACAAAUUUUUGGGCCUCUCAUGUGUUUCACGCUCCAGGUGUUUAAUCUUGAGUAUACGGGAGUGUGUUAAUAUCCCACAUUGGUUUAGGAUAGGGUAAUGUGCCCCUUAUAAAGUUUUGAGCACUUCUCCCUCUUUGAGCUAACUUUUGGGGCUGAGUUAGGCCUGAUCUAUUUUUUGUAUAUGGUAUUAAAACCUACUCUACUUCAAUGUUAGGCCACUCGCAAAUAUAUUUGCCUGCAAAUUUUACACUUGAGAUAUCAUGUUUGGGCAUGAGGGGAUAUAUUAUCCCACAUUGGUUUGGAAUAAAGUAUUUGUGUUAAAUAUAAGACUUAAGCAAAACUUCUCCCCUUGAGUUAGCUUUUGGGGUUGAGGUAAGCCGUCCAUUUUCUCUACAAACAUGUAGUUACAACCUGUUAGUCAUUUUUAGGAGUUCUAAGGAAAAUUUAUUCAUCUUUUGAUGUCACGUAGGGUAACUAAGAUGUUAGUCCACUUUAAUGUUUGUUGUGCCUACAGAUUCUCUGAGCCUCAUUUCACAGGGAUGGCCGGGCUUGAUUUCAAUCCAUCUUGAGGUUUGUAUUUGUGAGUUGCUUCUGGAUUCAUAUUCAUUCCUUUGUUUUUGUUCAAAAAUUUUCUUCAUCAUCAUGAGUGCAACUACAAGCUGAGAGUGCAAUUACUUAAUAGCAAUGUCAUGGAAACCAGGAGAAGUGUUACUUCAGUUUUUUUGCCUUAAUGUAUCUUAUGCUUAUAAUUUAAUUUCUUGUAGUGGGAUGUGGUCCCAAGCAUUGUUCUUACUACAAAGGAUGUACUGAAAUUAACUUUUAACAAUUGAUGCAGAAAACUUUCAACUUAAUUUUCAAAUUUUCAUUAAGCAUAAAGCAGAAGGUGGGGUGGGGUUGCAACCUUUGAAGCACUAGUUUUACUUUUCUUUGCAGCUGUAAAAGAAAACCCUUAAAGGGACACAAAAACCCUUGAAGGACACGUGUGGAUAACAAUGAAAGGAAAAGAAAAGUUGAAAAAGAGGAGGAUUUUUUUUUUUUUUUGCUUGAUAGAACCAAGCAUCAGCAGUUUUGUGCUUUUGUCCAAAUUCAUUCCUCUGUAUUAAUCAUAAUUUUCUGAAUAUCUCCACACCCCAUUUCUUUCUUUUAGUAGACAAGUGGUUUAUUAGAUAUAUAGUAGUCUAAACAUGCUUCCUGUUCUUUUUUUUUUGUCUCAAAUGUUUUUUGGUGGUUGUGACUUAUGUCAUUUUUUGGUUUCAACUACUCACAAUGACUUAAAAAAAUGAUUUGCCCUUCAGGGUUUUAUUAAUGUUUCUAUUUCUGUUCAUUUUUGCCGUUUAGGAUUGCGGAGAAGUAACUGCAACUGGGGUUUCUUCUUUGUUCAACUGCAGAGCUCUUGAAGAUAUCUUGUUGCGUCAUAAUGUGAGCCAUCUAUUAAUGGAUUUUAUUUUUCCCUACCUCUCUUCACUGGAAUCCAGUUUAAGCCAAAUCAACGCAUUAUCAUGUGGCUUCUAGUUUUCUUCCAACUGGAAUGUGAAUUCUAUCCAUUGAUCACUUGUUUUGGCAAAUCAUGGCUUGUCAUGGAUGUUGAUUAUAUGUGCUUUAUACUGCUAUUCUGUUGUCCCAGAAGGUAAAGGAGCGGAGCUAAAUUUUCUAAGGUCACCUCCAUGUUAAAAAUAAGAUGAGAAAACUAUUUAAUUUUUUUUUUUUAAUCACCUGGAGAGACCAUGCAUAAGUAAAGCCUUUUGCAUGCUAUUAUUAAUCAUGUAGAUGUUAUUUAACAAUAUGAAGCCUUUAGCUACUAAUUUUCUAUUGCCAAUAUCUAUGUCAUGAGCAUUGUUCUGUAGAACAAACAAAAAUUAACUGCUGGUCAGCAGGGAACUUGAUCCUAAUGCUCUGUUGCAAGCAAAUAUAAUGUGGAUUAGAGGCAAAAGGCAUGAGAUUACAUAUAGUGAAUUGUUUUUAGUUCAAAAGUUGUAAACUACACAAUUUGCAUAAUCCGUACCUCAUUAAUGGCAUAACAAUGGUUAUUUAUUUGGGGCUAGUCUAUGAUCCAGCUGAUGCCAUUCUCAUUUCCCUUAACAAGCAAAAGGGCAACCCAAAUUCUUGGGUUUUGAGUCUAUUCAGUUUUGGGUCUUUUGUAAAAGCACUCUGUAACAUUGUACCUGACCUGAAUAAAUUUGCUUUUUGACCUAGAAUCUUACUGACAUUGUGCAGGGCUCAGGGAUAGCCAGCAGCUUCAUUCUUGACGCUGCUUCGAAGAUGCCAAUGCUCCGGCAAGUAUCAUUAGACUUAUGUGAUGCAUUAGAAGGUGACUUUGACAUUCCAAAUGUAAGUUGAAAUUCUGAAUAUGAACUAAUUUCUUAGCUUCACCUACUUUAGUAUAGUUAUCUCAUUCCGUGGAUGAAGUGCAGACAUUUUUCACCCUGACUUCAUGUAAUUCCCGGUCCAAAUUACAUAAUUAGGGAAGACAAUUCCAGCUUUUGCUAUCAAUAUGCUCAUUUGGGUGUUUUAGAACAGUUUACAGACCACAAAAAAGAAAAAGAAAAGGUUCACAAUGUCUUCAGAAGUUUUCUGUCAGUUGCCCGUUAAUCUUAAUCGAAGCUCAAAUCAGGGCAUGUCAUAGAACACACUCUUCCUUUCCUUGCAAAGGAGACAGAGUAAAAGAUCAGGACACUGCUAUAUUUCUUAUAUUGUUGAGAUUCCAAUUUUGUCAUUGGGAUCCCCAUCUUCCAAUUUUUUCCCCUCCAAACAGCCCAGUAGAUUUCUUUGAUAUCUAGAUUCUGACUCUUGAAUUUGUCUCAGCAUGGAAACAGAUAUUUCUUAAGUGCUGUGAAGAUAGCGAGAUGUAAAUUUAAAAAAUCUCCAAAUAUCAACUUCCAGGAGGCUCACAGAAGGCCAGUGCACAAGGACACAUUAGUGCUGGUUUGGAACUCUCAAAUUCUCAAUAGCACAGUGGUCAAAGAAAGAAUUUAAGAACAUAACAGUGAAAUGGAACUUUAAUGUAAUUUUCUGCAUUCUUUGGAACGUCCUGUUUGUGAACUCUUUUUAUUCUCUAUGGUUGUUAAACCAGGAACUGUAACCCUUAUCUCCCUGCUAGCUUGGCUGGAUAAAUUUGCAGGGGAAGUGAUCCUAUUUUGGAUUUUAAUUAAUGAAUAAACUUGUUCAUGAUCGAGAACGUAGGAAUUGUUCAAGGUUGCAGGCUGGCAACUGUCAUCUGUUUUGUAUUCAUGUCUUAAUUUCAUCCUGUUCUUUUAAGUU